GAUUGAAGAACGUAGCGAAAUGCGAUAAGUAAUGUGAAUUGCAGAAUUCAGUGAAUCAUCGAAUCUUUGAACGCACAUUGCGCCCGCCAGUAUUCUGGCGGGCAUGCCUGUUCGAGCGUCAUUACAACCCUCAGGCCCCCGGGCCUGGCGUUGGGGAUCGGCAGAAGCCCCCUGUGGGCACACGCCGUCCCUCAAAUACAGUGGCGGUCCCGCCGCAGCUUCCAUUGCGUAGUAGCUAACACCUCGCAACUGGAGAGCGGCGCGGCCAUGCCGUAAAACACCCAACUUCUGAAUGUUGACCUCGAAUCAGGUAGGAAUACCCGCUGAACUUAAGCAUAUCAAUAAGCGGAGGA
rnacentral:misc_RNA from 1 species